rnacentral:rRNA from 1 species
UACGGGGGGGGCAAGCGUUGUUCGGAAUUACUGGGCGUAAAGGGCUCGUAGGUGGCCAACUAAGUCAGACGUGAAAUCCCUCGGCUUAACCGGGGAACUGCGUCUGAUACUGGAUGGCUUGAGUGUGGGAGAGGGAUGCGGAAUUCCAGGUGUAGCGGUGAGAUGCGUAGAUAUCUGGAGGAACACCGGUGGCGAAGGCGGCAUCCUGGACCAUUACUGACACUGAAUAGCGAAAGCCAGGGGAGCAAACGGG